GCGGGCGGCGUGCCUAAUACAUGCAAGUCGAGCGAAUCGAUGGGAGCUUGCUCCCUGAGAUUAGCGGCGGACGGGUGAGUAACACGUGGGCAACCUGCCUAUAAGACUGGGAUAACUUCGGGAAACCGGAGCUAAUACCGGAUACGUUCUUUUCUCGCAUGAGAGAAGAUGGAAAGACGGUUUCGGCUGUCACUUAUAGAUGGGCCCGCGGCGCAUUAGCUAGUUGGUGAGGUAAUGGCUCACCAAGGCGACCAUGCGUAGCCGACCUGAGAGGGUGAUCGGCCACACUGGGACUGAGACACGGCCCAGACUCCUACGGGACCCAGCAGUAGGGAAUCUUCCGCAAUGGACGAAAGUCUGACGGAGCAACGCCGCGUGAACGAAGAAGGCCAACGGGUCGUAAAGUUCUGUUGUUAGGGAAGAACAAGUACCAGAGUAACUGCUGGUACCUUGACGGUACCUAACCAGAAAGCCACGGCUAACUACGUGCCAGCAGCCGCGGUAAUACGUAGGUGGCAAGCGUUGUCCGGUUUAUUGGGCGUAAAGCGCGCGCAGGUGGUUCCUUAAGUCUGAUGUGAAAGCCCACGGCUCAACCGUGGAGGGUCAUUGGAAACUGGGGAACUUGAGUGCAGAAGAGGAAAGUGGAAUUCCAAGUGUAGCGGUGAAAUGCGUAGAGAUUUGGAGGAACACCAGUGGCGAAG
rnacentral:rRNA from 1 species